GCCUGGGUGGCUCAGUCGGUUGAGUGUCCGACUUCAGCUUAGGUCAUGAUCUCACCGUCCGUGGGUUCAAGCCCCGCAUCGGGCU
rfam:Felis catus isolate Cinnamon breed Abyssinian chromosome D4, whole genome shotgun sequence.